GGCAGACGGGUGAGUAACAUGUAGGUAUCUACCCUUUGGCCAGGAAUAACACGAGGAAACUUGUGCUAAUACCUGAUAAGUCUUUACGGAGAAAGCUUUAUGCACCAUUGGAUGAGCCUGCACUAGAUUAGUUAGUUGGUGGGGUAAAGGCCUACCAAGACUUUGAUCAAUAGCUGAUUUGAGAGGAUGAUCAGCCACAUUGGGACUGAGACACGGCCCAAACUCCUAGGGGAGGCAGCAGUGGGGAAUCAUGCACAAUGGAGGAAACUCUGAUGCAGCGAUGCCGCGUGAGUGAAGAAGGCCUUUGGGUUGUAAAGCUCUUUCGUCGGGGAAGAAAAUGACUGUACCCGAAUAAGAAGGUCCGGCUAACUUCGUGCCAGCAGCCGCGGUAAUACGAAGGGACCUAGCGUAGUUCGGAAUUACUGGGCUUAAAGAGUUCGUAGGUGGUUGAAAAAGUUGGUGGUGAAAUCCCAGAGCUUAACUCUGGAACUGCCAUCAAAACUUUUCAGCUAGAGUUUGAUAGAGGAAAGCAGAAUUUCUAGUGUAGAGGUGAAAUUCGUAGAUAUUAGAAAGAAUACCAAUUGCGAAGGCAGCUUUCUGGAUCAUUACUGACACUGAGGAACGAAAGCAUGGGUAGCGAAGAGGAUUAGAUACCCUCGCAGUCCAUGCCGUAAACGAUGUGUGUUAGACGUUGGAAAUUUAUUUUCAGUGUC
rnacentral:rRNA from 1 species